rnacentral:rRNA from 1 species
UUUCGCAAUGCCCGAAAGGGUGACGAAGCGACGUCGCGUGGGUGAUGAAGGCCCUUGGGUCGUAAAGCCCUGUCAAGAGUUAAGAAAGCAGCUUUGCUGUUUGACGAAGGCUCUAAAGGAAGUCACGGCUAACUCUGUGCCAGCAGCCGCGGUAAUACAGAGGUGGCAAGCGUUGUUCGGAAUUAUUGGGCGUAAAGAGCACGUAGGUGGUCAGAUAAGUCAGAUGUAAAAUAUCUUUGCUCAACAAAGAACCUGCAUUUGAAACUGUUUGACUAGAGUACGGAAGGGGAGAAUGGAAUUUCUGAUGGAGCGGUGAAAUGUGUAGAUAUCAGAAGGAACGCCGGUGGCGAAAGCGAUUCUCUAGUACGUAACUGACACUGAGGUGCGAAAGCUAGGGGAGCAAACAGGAUUAGAUACCCUGGUAGUCCUAGCCGUAAACGAUGGGCACUAAGUAGAGGGGUUUUU